rnacentral:rRNA from 1 species
CCUACGGGAGGCAGUAGUAGGGAAUCUUUCACAAUGGGCGAAAGCCUGAUGGAGCAACGCCGCGUGCAGGAUGAAGGCCUUCGGGUUGUAAACUGCUUUUAUAAGCGAGAAAUAUGAUGGUAACUUAUGAAUAAGGAUCGGCUAACUACGUGCCAGCAGCCGCGGUCAUACGUAGGAUCCGAGCAUUAUCCGGAGUGACUGGGUGUAAAGAGUUGCGUAGGUGGCAUAAUAAGUAGCUAGUGAAAUCUGGUGGCUCAACCAUUCAGACUAUUAGCUAAACUGUUAAGCUCGAGACCGUUAGGGGUAACUGGAAUUUCUAGUGUAGGAGUGAAAUCCGUAGAUAUUAGAAGGAACACCAAUAGCGUAGGCAGGUUGCUGGGACGGUUCUGACACUAAGGCACGAAAGCGUAGGGAGCAAACGGGAUUAGAUACCCGUGUAGUC